AGACCCGAAACCCGGUGAUCUAGCCAUGGGCAGGUUGAAGGUUGGGUAACACUAACUGGAGGACCGAACCGACUAAUGUUGAAAAAUUAGCGGAUGACCUGUGGCUGGGGGUGAAAGGCCAAUCAAACCGGGAGAUAGCUGGUUCUCCCCGAAAGCUAUUUAGGUAGCGCCUCGUGAAUUCAUCUCCGGGGGUAGAGCACUGUUUCGGCUAGGGGGCCAUCCCGGCUUACCAACCCGAUGCAAACUGCGAAUACCGGAGAAUGUUAUCACGGGAGACACACGGCGGGUGCUAACGUCCGUCGUGAAGAGGGAAACAACCCAGACCGCCAGCUAAGGUCCCAAAGUCAUGGUUAAGUGGGAAACGAUGUGGGAAGGCCCAGACAGCCAGGAUGUUGGCUUAGAAGCAGCCAUCAUUUAAAGAAAGCGUAAUAGCUCACUGGUCGAGUCGGCCUGCGCGGAAGAUGUAACGGGGCUAAACCAUGCACCGAAGCUGCGGCAGCGACGCUUAUGCGUUGUUGGGUAGGGGAGCGUUCUGUAAGCCUGUGAAGGUGGCCUGUGAGGGUUGCUGGAGGUAUCAGAAGUGCGAAUGCUGACAUAAGUAACGAUAAAGCGGGUGAAAAGCCCGCUCGCCGGAAGACCAAGGGUUCCUGUCCAACGUUAAUCGGGGCAGGGUGAGUCGACCCCUAAGGCGAGGCCGAAAGGCGUAGUCGAUGGGAAACGGGUUAAUAUUCCCGUACUUGGUGUUACUGCGAAGGGGGGACGGAGAAGGCUAUGUUGGCCGGGCGACGGUUGUCCCGGUUUAAGCGUGUAGGCUGGUUUUCCAGGCAAAUCCGGAAAAUCAAGGCUGAGGCGUGACGACGAGGCACUACGGUGCUGAAGCAACAAAUGCCCUGCUUCCAGGAAAAGCCUCUAAGCAUCAGGUAACAUCAAAUCGUACCCCAAACCGACACAGGUGGUCAGGUAGAGAAUACCAAGGCGCUUGAGAGAACUCGGGUGAAGGAACUAGGCAAAAUGGUGCCGUAACUUCGGGAGAAGGCACGCUGACACGUAGGUGAAGUGAUUUACUCAUGGAGCUGAAGUCAGUCGAAGAUACCAGCUGGCUGCAACUGUUUAUUAAAAACACAGCACUGUGCAAACACGAAAGUGGACGUAUACGGUGUGACGCCUGCCCGGUGCCGGAAGGUUAAUUGAUGGGGUCAGCGCAAGCGAAGCUCCUGAUCGAAGCCCCGGUAAACGGCGGCCGUAACUAUAACGGUCCUAAGGUAGCGAAAUUCCUUGUCGGGUAAGUUCCGACCUGCACGAAUGGCGUAAUGAUGGCCAGGCUGUCUCCACCCGAGACUCAGUGAAAUUGAACUCGCUGUGAAGAUGCAGUGUACCCGCGGCAAGACGGAAAGACCCCGUGAACCUUUACUAUAGCUUGACACUGAACAUUGAGCCUUGAUGUGUAG
rnacentral:rRNA from 4 species